rnacentral:tRNA from 1 species
AAWUWUUUWGGCAGAAUUAAUGCAUCGAAUUUAGAAUUCGAAUAUAUAUUUUAAAUUAAUAUAAAUAAUUA